UUGUCUUUAUCGGAUCCACACUUCUUGCACAGGUAGCAGGCUGACAGAUUUGUUAAGAACUCCACGUCUGACGAGGACUUCAGAUCAAGAAGCUGAUGGGCUCGGAACUGAAGAGAUCUGUAAAGUUUUCCCUCCAAUUUCUGUUGUUAUAUUUAAACGUGUCUGUAUUAUUGUUAGUGUUUACAGAACUUUACAGAAGUGUGUACACCAUGGAAAAGUGUUUUAAUCUGAAAUCUACCUUCUAAGUGUUGCAGGUCACACUUGACUGUUUUUACCGUUUCACCUGCUGUUUCCAUGUGGUGCUGAGAUAUUUCGAGGGUAAGUCUGGAAUUCCGCUAGUUCUGAACUAUUCAUGUUUGGUAAAAGUCCACUACUAGCAGAACUCGGAUUUGCUCCCGACUGCCGACAGGACCCUCUCGGACCACCCUGACCAGGCGGGGACGGUCUGUUCAGCCACCAUCCUGAACAGCAGGUGGUCUAUGUGUGUUACAUUACACUGAUGGGAAGUGAACCAAAUCCACGUUUGGUCCUCAUAUGGUUCACUUACCAUCAGAUUUAAUCAUCAAACCAGACAUCAUCUAACUUCACAUGUGAUAUUUUUAUUUUUCAGAUUUGUUGUACAAAUUGUCUGUGUUUCUUGCUUUUAAAUGUUAAAUGUUGUUUAACUAUGAGGCAUGUUAGAACACAGAGAAAGGUAAUUUAAAAUGUUUGUUAUUUGCUUUUAAAGAAAUUUAAAUACAUUAAAAUAAUUGUUUCUUCAUCAA